UACGUAGGUGGCGAGCGUUGUCCGGAUUUACUGGGCGUAAAGAGCGCGCAGGCGGUCGUCCAAGUCGCGUGUGAAAGCCCCCGGCUCAACUGGGGAGGGUCACGCGAUACUGAUCGACUCGAAGGCAGGAGAGGGAAGCGGAAUUCCCGGUGUAGUGGUGAAAUGCGUAGAUAUCGGGAGGAACACCUGUGGCGAAAGCGGCUCACUGGACCACAACUGACGCUGAGGCGCGAAAGCUAGGGGAGCAAACAGG
rnacentral:rRNA from 1 species